ensembl:lncRNA
GAGAGUCUUAGCACAGAAGGACAAGUAAGCCAGUUGCCUGAUGUAGUUGUGUGUUCAGAAUCUUUUGCUGAUAGAGUGGAGGGUGAGAAAAUUGAAGCAGUGACUGCAGAGCCAGAUAAAGAGGAAGAGGUCAAAUAUAUUUCACUUUCUCAAGAGGAACCUUGUGGAGAAGAUGAAGGACAAACCAAAAAGGUUACUGCGCUCAUUUUAGAUUUGGAUACAGUGCACAUAGAUAGUGUAGACACAUACUCCCACACACCCACAGAUGGAGCUACAGUGAAAGCAGCCUCUGCUUGUGCUCUUUUAAAUGAGACGACACUGGGCAAACAAGAUCAUGAAACACUGGCCCCUCCAGAAGCUGAAAUUUCUGAACUAGCCAUAGAACCAAUUAGCAUCCUAUCUUCUCUUAAUGAGCCAAGUAUGGUGAAUGUUUCAGAAAUUAGUUCAGCAGUAGAACCAGAACAGUCACAGCUCAUCGAUAUAGACACUAAUGGACAAAUGCAAACAACAGCAGCUCCACCUUCUGAAACACAAGGUAGUGAAGAUGCUGCUUCCAGAGGUAUUGGAACAUUUUCUAGGAACAAUGGACCAAAUGCUGCAAUAGCUGACAGAGAGAGCAACUGGACUACAAAUAAUGGCCCUCGUGAAAUCCAACGCCGAUUUAUUAUUCUAGACUUCCCUGAGGGGGAGGAAAUGCAGAGACAUCAUGCUCAUGAAGCUUCUCUUUUCAGUGAACCCACUGAGACACAGAUUCCGGGAUCAGAACGUUCAGUGUCAGAAAGAAUGGAGACAGAAUGUGAUGAUAAAACAGAGUCAGAGGUCAUAGCCAGUACAAACAGACCUUUAGAAGCAUCUGAGCAAUCUGAACUGAUUGAAGCAAGCCUUAAACUACCAACAAGGCAAGUUGGAGAAGUCAUGCAUUUCAUUGUAGAAGAAGAGACAAAGAAGACCCCAUCAGGUGAUGAAAUGCAAUUCACAGAAGUUGAUCCUAAAUGUAAACCUCCAAUCAAGCAACAAAAUGAGGUAGAAACUGAGAUCCAACAAACAAAAAAAGUGUAUGUCUCAACAACAAUAGAGGAGAAACCUGAAGGUGAAGAAGCCAUUGACGUCAUUUUGGGAGAAGAGACAAAGACCCAAUCAGGUGGUAAAACACAAUCCAAAGUAAUUGAACCUGAACUGACACCUCCAAUCAAGCUCCUGGUUGACUGGGACACUGAGGUACAACCUGAAAAAAUGUAUGUCUCAUUAACAACCGAGGAGAAACCUGAAGUUGUAGAAGCCACCGAUGUGAUUGUAGAAGAAGAGAUGAACAAGACCCCAUCAGGUGAAAAAGCACAAUCCAUGGAAUCUGAACCUAAAAUGACACCACCUGUCAGGAGAAAUGACAAUAAAAUUGAUGUCCAGUCAAACAAGGUAAAUGUCUCAACACAAAAGGAGAAUGCUGAAGGUGAAGAGGCUGUGGAAGUAAAUGUAGUAGAGGAGACAAAGACAACAUCAUCAGAUAAUAAAGCACAAUCCAUGGAAGCUGAACCUGAACUGACACCCUCAAUCAAACAACAGAAUGACCAGAAAACUGAAGUCCAGUCAGAAAAGUUGGAUGUAUCAACAGAGGAGAAAAUUGAAUGUGAAGAAGCCUUGCAUGUCAUUGAGGAACGGAAUGAGUGGGACACCGAAGUACAGUCUAAAAGAAUGAAUGUUUCACUGACACCAGAGGAAAAACAUGAAGUUGUAGACAACUCAGAUGUCAUUGUAGAAGAAGAGACAAACAAGACCCCAUCAGAUGAAAAAGCACAUUCCACUGAGGCUGAACCUAAACCGACACCACCAGUCAGCCGAAGAAACGAAAAUAAGUUUGAUGUCCCAUCAAACAAGGUGAAUAUCUCAACAACAUCAGAGAAGACACCUGAAGGUACAGAGGUUAACACUGUCACUGUAGAAGAUGAGAUAAAGAUGACUCCAUCAGAUGAUAAAGCACAGUCCCUAGAAGUGGAAACCAUACUGACACCACCAGUCAGGCAACAAAAUGAGGGUGAAACCGAUGUCCAAUCAACAACAUCAGAGGAGAAACCUGGGGACACCAUGCAUAUCUCUGAGGAGGAAAGGACAAAAAAGACAUUGGUUGAUAAAAUGCAAUCCAUAGAAGCUAAGCCUAAACCAACGCCACCAGUCAGAAGACGAAAUGAGGGUAAAACUGAUGUCCAAUUAGAUAAGGUGGAUGUCAUACCGACACCUCCCACCAGACGACGUAAAGGUGAAAGGUUAUCGUUAGAUAUUGAAUCACAUAGAGAGGGAGAAGUUUUUCCCACCCCACCAAGCAGAAGACGUAGAGAGAAAAUAGGAAUUGAGAGUUUUUCACUUGAAUUAGAGUCCCAACCCACACCACCAGCAAGACGACAUAUAGAAAAAGAAGAUAGAAGAUUAUCACUCGAUCUGGAGACCCAACCCACACCACCAGCAAGACGACGUAAA